rnacentral:rRNA from 1 species
UACGGAGGGAGCUAGCGUUGUUCGGAAAUACUGGGCGUAAAGCGCGCGUAGGCGGCUACUUAAGUCGGAUGUGAAAGCCCCUGGCUCAACUGGGGAAGUGCACCCGAAACUGAGUGGCUUGAGUACUAAAGAGGGUCGCGGAAUUCCCGGUGUAGAGGUGAAAUUCGUAGAUAUCGGGAGGAACACCGGUGGCGAAGGCGGCGACCUGGGUCGAGACUGACGCUGAGGCGCGAAAGCGUGGGGAGCAAACAGG